CAGCUUAAUAUGCUUUAAGGUUCUUUCAUUAUGAAAGCUAAGAGGGAAAGAGGUGAGAAUCCUCUACAGCCCCCGCUACUGUGUGUAGGGAUGAAAUCUUUCAUAAACCACUAUCUAGCUUUUAUAUAGAUGGGAAGGGGAAGAGAGUAAUAUGAUCUACGAGUCAGGAUACCUGCCUUAAAGUAAGUAACUAA
rnacentral:ncRNA from 1 species